rnacentral:rRNA from 1 species
UACGGAGGGUGCAAGCGUUAUCCGGAUUCACUGGGUUUAAAGGGUGCGUAGGCGGGUUGGUAAGUCCGUGGUGAAAUCCCCAAGCUUAACUUGGGAACUGCCGUGGAUACUAUCAAUCUUGAAUAUCGUGGAGGUAAGCGGAAUAUGUCAUGUAGCGGUGAAAUGCUUAGAUAUGACAUAGAACACCAAUUGCGAAGGCAGCUGGCUACACAAAUAUUGACACUGAGGCUCGAAAGCGUGGGGAUCAAACAGG